CCCGACUACAAACAAGUAAGCUGUCUCAACUCUCAAAACGACCUUAAACUCUGGAGUUGGGCAUGAUGCAAGUAUAUAUUCCUAUUGGUACUAACUGGCUUGUACUUGCACGAGUAUAAUAUUUUGAAAGUUUUGCUUCGUGCAGUGCUGUGAUCUUACUACUUAACUGCAAUUCUGUUUUGAUAAUUAAGCUUACCCAUAUGAAUCGCAAGGUCAUGCUACUUCACAUCAUUGUCAAGGCAUGAAGUAAUCAAUCCUCUGGAGUAGUCGCCUGACACAGCACACCAAGGGUGGCCGAAUGCGUGGACUAAACCGCAUACUGAAACAAUAAUACAAAGAGAAGAAAGCAACAUUCAGAAAGGUACUUGGUUGACCUAGAAGAGCUGCAUUUCCAGUCUUGAACGGCUCGCGAAAAGGACAUCACCUCACGAGGAAGAAUAACUGAACAAAAGCAGCUGAGUAUCUUUCCCUUCACUCUCUUUCACGACCCCUUCAAUGAACUGUAAGAAUCAUCAAAUCAACUCCGAGAUAUAGAUGGAAUUAUUCUACGCUUUGAUACUUUCACCGUCCAUUCGUUCAAGAAAGUUUAAAGAUGUAACAGUUUGGCAUGCAUGUUGUUCCUCUCCUAUUGGAGAUUCGCACUACUUUUCUAAUGAGGCGAGGCUGUUUGGUACUGUUUUUUUUAAGGGACUUUGGUGAUACUAAAUGCAUUUCUGUCAGUGGCCGAUCGAGACAGAAGGGGUUGCUGUUGACUUGUUUUGUUUGUGUGCUGUGUAGUACUUAUACCAGCUAGAAACCCAUUUACCACCCAUAAACUAGCACAUUGUAAUGAUCCUUGGGAAUGGAUGAAAAGUAUUGAAGCCUAGGACAUGUUGCAUGCAUUCCCAAGUGAUGCCCAUGCUUCCCCUGGCUGGACAACCAAAAGAAUCAUGAUAUUGGAAGAAUGAAGGGGGCAGCUUCCAGUGUCCCCUGAUAUGCAUUUCUUCCCUGGGUAGAACCUUUGGCGAACUAGAGAGCUGUAAUGUUCGACUGCAUCCAACUUUCUUUAUUUACGCACAUGUGGCAUAUUUCAAUAGAGAGUUUCUGGAUUUAUAAUAAUAAAGCUGAAAAAUAGUA